UAAAUGGUUUUCUUUACCCCGUCUUGUAACACGGACCAAGGAGUCUAACAUCUAUGCGAGUGUUUGGGUGUCAAGCCCGAGCGCGUAAUGAAAGUGAACGGAGGUGGGAUCCCGCAAGGGUGCACCAUCGACCGAUCCUGAUGUCUUCGGAUGGAUUUGAGUAAGAGCAUAACUGUUCGGACCCGAAAGAUGGUGAACUAUGCGUGGAUAGGGUGAAGCCAGAGGAAACUCUGGUGGAGGCUCGCAGCGGUUCUGACGUGCAAAUCGAUCGUCAAAUCUGCGCAUGGGGGCGAAAGACUUAUCGAACCAUCUAGUAGCUGGUUACCGCCGAAGUUUCCCUCAGGAUAGCAGUGUUGAUCUUCAGUUUUAUGAGGUAAAGCGAAUGAUUAGGGAAUCGGGGGCUAAUUUUUGCCUUCAUCCAUUCUCAAACUUUAAAUAUGUAAGAAGCCCUUGUUACUUAAUUGAACGUGGGCAUUCGAAUGUACCAACACUAGUGGGCCAUUUUUGGUAAGCAGAACUGGCGAUGCGGGAUGAACCGAUCGUGAGGUUAAGGUGCCGGAAUAUACGCUCAUCAGACACCACAAAAG
rnacentral:rRNA from 1 species